AGUGAACGCUGGCGGUAGGCCUAACACAUGCAAGUCGAACGGCAGCACAGUAAGAGCUUGCUCUUACGGGUGGCGAGUGGCGGACGGGUGAGGAAUACAUCGGAAUCUACUUUUUCGUGGGGGAUAACGUAGGGAAACUUACGCUAAUACCGCAUACGACCUACGGGUGAAAGCAGGGGUUUUUCGGACCUUGCGCGAUUGAUUGAGCCGAUGUCGGAUUAGCUAGUUGUCGGGGUAAAGGCCCACCACGGCGACGUUCCGUAGCUGGUCUGAGAGGAUGAUCAGCCACACUGGAACUGAGACACGGUCCAGACUCCUACGGGAGGCAGCAGUGGGGAAUAUUGGACCAUGGGCGCAAGCCUGAUCCAGCCAUACCGCGUGGGUGAAGAAGGCCUUCGGGUUGUAAAGCCCUUUUGUUGGGAAAGAAAAGCAGCAGGUUAAUACCCCGCUGUUCUGACGGUACCCAAAGAAUAAGCACCGGCUAACUUCGUG
rnacentral:rRNA from 1 species